CGAUUAGAAAUUAAUCAGUCAAAUGUGGUAUCCAGACUAUUUUGUUUAAACACCUGGUCUCGGAGACUACAAUACUUAGAGGCAUAUUUCCCAAAUAGUAGCAGCAUGCUCUCCUCAAAAACCCAAAUAAACAUAUUCCCAACAAAAAAGUAAACCUAGUAACCCAUGCCCGAUGAAACCCCAGUUUUCAAAUUUUGAUUUGUUCCUCGGAGUCGAGCAGAGCAUACAGAUGAAGGAACAACAAUUAGGGGCAGUACAGCAGCACACACACCUCAGGAACAGUACGCCAUUAUUCAGCCACAACCAACCAGCAAUUCAGCCCAACCAGCCCCAACAAAUCAGCGAUCAACACAAUGGAACAUAAAACAACCAGAGAACAAACUACACAUAAGAAGCAUUCAAGCAGUGAAACUAAUGAUAACCGAUGACGACUUGGAAACGACUUGGAUUUGAAGUGUGGAGUAGGCCUACUGGGGAUACCACGUAAAAAAAAAACGCGCCCAGAUCUUUACCAAAUGUUGGUGGUGUGGAAAAGAGUUCAUUAAACUGUCCAAAUAUAAACGUAUAGUACGAAUAAAUAAAGAAUGACCAAUUCA